rfam:Asian citrus Psyllid, Diaphorina citri - Florida Strain, whole genome shotgun sequence.
AAAACGGCCCUUUUGAGGGCCACCAACAUGAUCUCUGACAGACAC